CAGCCGCCGCGGGAAAACGUAGGUGGCGAGCGUUGUCCGGAAUCAUUGGGCGUAAAGGGCUCGCAGGCGGUUUCUUAAGUCUGAUGUGAAAGCCCCCGGCUCAACCGGGGAGGGUCAUUGGAAACUGGGAGACUUGAGUGCAGAAGAGGAGAGCGGAAUUCCAUGUGUAGCGGUGAAAUGCGUAGAUAUAUGGAGGAACACCAGUGGCGAAGGCGACUCUCUGGUCUGUAACUGACGCUGAGGAGCGAAAGCGUGGGGAGCGAACAGGAUUAGAUACCCCCGUAGUCCCUGUCUCUUAUAA
rnacentral:rRNA from 1 species